GAUGAACGCUAGCGGCAGGCCUAACACAUGCAAGUCGAGCGGGAUUAGUUAAUAGCUUGCUAUUGACUAUGAGAGUGGCGCACGGGUGCGUAACACGUAUGCAACCUACCUUCAACAGGGGGAUAGCCUUCCGAAAGGGAGAUUAAUACCGCAUAAUAUAAUUGAGUGGCAUCACCUGAUUAUCAAAAGUCAGGGUUGAAGAUGGGCAUGCGUCCGAUUAGUUUGUUGGUGAGGUAACGGCUCACCAAGACUACGAUCGGUAGGGGAUCUGAGAGGAUGGCCCCCCACACUGGUACUGAGACACGGACCAGACUCCUACGGGAGGCAGCAGUAAGGAAUAUUGGUCAAUGGACGGAAGUCUGAACCAGCCAUGCCGCGUGCAGGAAGACGGUCCUCUGGAUUGUAAACUGCUUUUGUUAGGGAAGAAACUUCCGUACGUGUACGGGACUGACGGUACCUAAAGAAUAAGGAUCGGCUAACUCCGUGCCAGCAGCCGCAGUAAAAC
rnacentral:rRNA from 1 species